GACGAACGCUGGCGGCGUGCUCAACACAUGCAAGUCGAACGGAAAGGCCCUGCUUUUGUGGGGUGCUCGAGUGGCGCACGGGUGAGUAACACGUGAGUAACCUGCCCUUGACUUUGGGAUAACUUCAGGAAACUGGGGCUCAUACCGGAUAGGAGCUCCUGCUGCGUGGUGGGGGUUGGAAAGUUUCGGCGGUUGGGGAUGGACUCGCGGCUUAUCAGCUUGUUGGUGGGGUAGUGGCUUACCAAGGCUUUGACGGGUAGCCGGCCUGAGAGGGUGACCGGCCACAUUGGGCCUGAGAGACGGCCCAGACGCCUACGGGAGGCAGCAGUGGGGAAUAUUGCACAAUGGGCGGAAGCCUGAGGCAGCAACGCCGCGUGCGGGAUGACGGCCUUCGGGUUGUAAACCGCUGUCGCCUGUGACGAAGCGUGAGUGACGGUAAUGGGUAAAGAAGCACCGGCUAACUACGUG
rnacentral:rRNA from 1 species